UCCCAAACCCCUGUGAACAUACCAACUGUUGCCUCGGCGGAUCAGCCCGCUCCCGGUAAAACGGGACGGCCCGCCAGAGGACCCCUAAACUCUGUUUCUAUAUGUAACUUCUGAGUAAAACCAUAAAUAAAUCAAAACUUUCAACAACGGAUCUCUUGGUUCUGGCAUCGAUGAAGAACGCAGCAAAAUGCGAUAAGUAAUGUGAAUUGCAGAAUUCAGUGAAUCAUCGAAUCUUUGAACGCACAUUGCGCCCGCCAGUAUUCUGGCGGGCAUGCCUGUUCGAGCGUCAUUUCAACCCUCAAGCCCAGCUUGGUGUUGGGACUCGCGAGUCAAAUCGCGUUCCCCAAAUUGAUUGGCGGUCACGUCGAGCUUCCAUAGCGUAGUAGUAAAACCCUCGUUACUGGUAAUCGUCGCGGCCACGCCGUUAAACCCCAACUUCUGAAUGUUGACCUCGGAUCAGGUAGGA
rnacentral:rRNA from 1 species